rnacentral:rRNA from 1 species
CACGUAGUUAGCCGGUGCUUCUUAUCUACCUACCGUCACCCGAAGGCUUCGUCGAUAGCGAAAGGAGUUUACAACCCGAAGGCCUUCAUCCCCCACGCGGCGUCGCUGCAUCAGGCUUGCGCCCAUUGUGCAAUAUUCCCACUGCUGCCUCCCGUAGGAGUCUGGGCCGUAUCUCAGUCCCAAUGUGUCCGUACACCCUCUCAGGCCGGAUACCCGUCGCCGCCUUGGUAGGCCAUUACCCCCACCAACAAGCUGAUAGGCCGCAGGCUCAUCCCACACCGCAAAAGCUUUCCACCACAACAUCCAAGAAGUGGUCAUAUUCGGUAUUAGACCCAGUUUCCCAAGCUUAUCCCAAAGUGCAGGGCAGAUCACCCACGUGUUACUCACCCGUUCGCCACUCGAGUACCCCAGCAAGCUGGGGCCUUCCGUCGACUUGCAUGUGUUAAGCACGCCGCCAGCGUUCAUCCUGAGCCAGGAUCAAACUCU